rnacentral:rRNA from 1 species
GCUCAGAGCGAACGCUGGCGGCAGGCCUAAUACAUGCAAGUCGAGCGCGCCCUUCGGGGUGAGCGGCGGACGGGUGAGUAACGCGUGGGAAUAUGCCCUUCUCUAAGGAAUAGCCUCUGGAAACGGAGAGUAAUACCUUAUACGCCCUUUGGGGGAAAGAUUUAUCGGAGAAGGAUUAGCCCGCGUUAGAUUAGGUAGUUGGUGGGGUAAUGGCCUACCAAGCCUACGAUCUAUAGCUGGUUUGAGAGGAUGAUCAGCCACACUGGGACUGAGACACGGCCCAGACUCCUACGGGAGGCAGCAGUAGGGAAUCUUAGACAAUGGGGGCAACCCUGAUCUAGCCAUGCCGCGUGUGUGAUGAAGGCCCUAGGGUCGUAAAGCACUUUCGCCAGAGAUGAUA